GGUUAAUAUUCCUGUACUUGGUGUUACUGCGAAGGGGGGACGGAGAAGGCUAUGUUGGCCGGGCGACGGUUGUCCCGGUUUAAGCGUGUAGGCUGGUUUUCCAGGCAAAUCCGGAAAAUCAAGGCUGAGGCGUGAUGACGAGGCACUACGGUGCUGAAGCAACAAAUGCCCUGCUUCCAGGAAAAGCCUCUAAGCAUCAGGUAACAUCAAAUCGUACCCCAAACCGACACAGGUGGUCAGGUAGAGAAUACCAAGGCGCUUGAGAGAACUCGGGUGAAGGAACUAGGCAAAAUGGUGCCGUAACUUCGGGAGAAGGCACGCUGAUAUGUAGGUGAAGCGACUUGCUCGUGGAGCUGAAAUCAGUCGAAGAUACCAGCUGGCUGCAACUGUUUAUUAAAAACACAGCACUGUGCAAACACGAAAGUGGACGUAUACGGUGUGACGCCUGCCCGGUGCCGGAAGGUUAAUUGAUGGGGUUAGCCGCAAGGCGAAGCUCUUGAUCGAAGCCCCGGUAAACGGCGGCCGUAACUAUAACGGUCCUAAGGUAGCGAAAUUCCUUGUCGGGUAAGUUCCGACCUGCACGAAUGGCGUAAUGAUGGCCAGGCUGUCUCCACCCGAGACUCAGUGAAAUUGAACUCGCUGUGAAGAUGCAGUGUACCCGCGGCAAGACGGAAAGACCCCGUGAACCUUUACUAUAGCUUGACACUGAACAUUGAGCCUUGAUGUGUAGGAUAGGUGGGAGGCUUUGAAGUGUGGACGCCAGUCUGCAUGGAGCCGACCUUGAAAUACCACCCUUUAAUGUUUGAUGUUCUAACGUUGACCCGUAAUCCGGGUUGCGGACAGUGUCUGGUGGGUAGUUUGACUGGGGCGGUCUCCUCCUAAAGAGUAACGGAGGAGCACGAAGGUUGGCUAAUCCUGGUCGGACAUCAGGAGGUUAGUGCAAUGGCAUAAGCCAGCUUGACUGCGAGCGUGACGGCGCGAGCAGGUGCGAAAGCAGGUCAUAGUGAUCCGGUGGUUCUGAAUGGAAGGGCCAUCGCUCAACGGAUAAAAGGUACUCCGGGGAUAACAGGCUGAUACCGCCCAAGAGUUCAUAUCGACGGCGGUGUUUGGCACCUCGAUGUCGGCUCAUCACAUCCUGGGGCUGAAGUAGGUCCCAAGGGUAUGGCUGUUCGCCAUUUAAAGUGGUACGCGAGCUGGGUUUAGAACGUCGUGAGACAGUUCGGUCCCUAUCUGCCGUGGGCGCUGGAGAACUGAGGGGGGCUGCUCCUAGUACGAGAGGACCGGAGUGGACGCAUCACUGGUGUUCGGGUUGUCAUGCCAAUGGCACUGCCCGGUAGCUAAAUGCGGAAGAGAUAAGUGCUGAAAGCAUCUAAGCACGAAACUUGCC
rnacentral:rRNA from 1 species